AAUCUUCCACAAUGGACGAAAGUCUGAUGGCGCAACGCCGCGUGAGUGCAGAAGGAUUUCGGUUCGUAAAACUCUGUUGCAAGGGAAGAACAAGUAGCGUAGUAACCGGCGCUACUUUGACGGUACCAUGUUAUAAUGCCAAGGAUAACUCCGUGCCAGCAGCCGCGGUAAUACGUAGGUCGCAAGCGUUGUCCGGAAUUAUUGGGCGUAAAGCGCGCGCAGGUGGUUUAUUAAGUCUGAUGUGAAAGCCCACGGCUCAACCGUGGAGGGUCAGUGGAAACUGGGAGACUUGAGUGCAGAAGAGGAUAGUGGAAUUCCAAGUGUAGCGGUGAAAUGCGUAGAGAUUUGGAGGAACACCAGUGGCGAAGGCGACUGUCUGGUCUGUAACUGACACUGAGGCGCGAAAGCGUGGGGAGCAAAC
rnacentral:rRNA from 1 species